CAGAGGUCCCAAGCGUUGUUCGGAUUCACUGGGCGUAAAGGGUGCGUAGGUGGUUGUGCAAGUCUGAUGUGAAAUCUCCGGGCUUAACCCGGAAAUGGCAUUGGAAACUGCACAGCUAGAGGUUUGGAGGGGGGACUGGAAUUCUCGGUGUAGCAGUGAAAUGCGUAGAUAUCGAGAGGAACACCAGUGGCGAAGGCGAGUCCCUGGACAACACCUGACACUGAGGCACGAAAGCUAGGGGAGCAAACAGGAUUAGAUACCCUGGUAGUCCUAGCCGUAAACGGUGCUUGCUUGCUGUAAAAGGAAUCGACCCCUUUUGUGGCGAAGCCAACGCGAUAAGCAAGCCGCCUGGGAAGUACGGUCGCAAGAUUA
rnacentral:rRNA from 1 species